AUUAUUAUUAAAUAUGAAAUAUAAAACCUAUUAAUUGUAUAAAAAUUAUAAAAACAUCCCAGACAAAGAAAAUAUAACUCAGAAAUAAUUGAUUUCCAACCUAAUUAACUAGAGUGUCGUUAAAACCGAAAACGGCCGGCGACGGGUGGGUUUCCCUCGGACGUGACAUUUUACUUAGAACACCGAGGAUUAGAAAACAAUAUUUUAAUAAAUAAAUCAAGAGUUGUGGAUUUGAGUCCCAUUCUGGACAAUUAUUUUCUUUCGGAAUAUUCUAAAUUUAAAAUUAAUUUAAUUCUAAUUUUUAAAUUUAUUAGGAGAACAGCUAAACCACCUAUCUCUAGCCAAACUGAUUUGUUAUCUAAUUAGUUAUUAGGCUCAACAUAGCCCAAUAGAUAAUCUGACAGAUCAUUUGGUAAUAGAAAUGUGCUGGGUUGUUGUUUAUUAUGUAAAUUACACAAUCAAUCCGCAAGAAGGAAGUGCAGCUACCCAUUCUUUCACAGUUAAGAAAAUAUUGUGGCAAUAUAAAUUAAAACUUUCAGUUGUAUGAAAUAUGUUGUAAAUUCCCGAUCUUACAAUGGUGGAAGCAAUUGUUUCCAAUCAAACCCCAACCACUUGUAAUGUAAUCUGAGUAAAUUUUCUUUUUAGCGAAGUUUUACAUUUAACAAAUAUUCUGCCAAAUCCGAGAGAAAAGAAUUUGUUAAAAAUAAACUUUCCUUUAAAAAAUGCAAUUAAAAUACUCGAAAUAUUACAUCUAUGACGUAAAACUCGUGACGUAACGCGUGACGCAUUGCAACGACAAAUUCGAAUUCGUUCCAUUUCGUAUUGUUGCCGACGCCAUCUUGGAAAUUUAUGCUUUCCGGAAAUUGCGAGUUCUUUUUCCCUCCAUUUUAACAUUUUUCGUACAAAUUUUAAUAAUGAAAACUCGCGUAACGUAGGUAACUUAAUAUUUUUCGAUUUAUAUCAAAAUUAAAUAAUUUAAAUUAGAUACGCUUUAAACCUAGAUUUGCGGCCUGUAACCUGUAAGGUUACGGAAUGCGUUUUUAUAAUUUUAUUUAUUAUUACAAAUAUCUUAGCGAUAUUUUACAAAAAAAGAGGACUAUUUUAGCAUUUUAAAGAAAACAUUUGCAAUUAGUUAAUAUUCUGACGUAGAACUUAUGACGUAACGUGUGACGCAUUUAUCGCACGUUCCACCGAUUCGAAUUCGUUCGAUUUCGUAUUGCCGACGCCAUCUUGAAAUAGAAAGUUUUCUGGAAAUUGCGAGUUAUUUUUCCCUCCAUUUCGAGAUUUUUCGUAAAUGUUUAAUUACAUAAACCCGAAUAACGCAGGCAAUGAAGAAGUAUCAUUCUGAAAUUUUAUAAUCCACUUUCCAAAGAGACAUGGAAUCAUUUUAAAAACUUCUUGUGCUAAAAAAAUUAACAAGAAGCAAAACAAAGGAAAGGAAGAAGUAUCAUUCUGAAAUUUUAUAAUCCACUUUUCAAAGAAACAUGGAAUCAUUUAAUUAAAAACUUCUUGUGCUCAAAAAAUUAACAAGAAGCAAAACAAAAGAAAGGUAAGACUGUUUUAUUUUCAUUCUAAAUUGUUAUGUAUUAUAAACAUUGUUUCAGUAGAAAAUGGCAUAUAAAAUUUUAGAAUCCUCAUUGAUGAAUCUAAGAAUUUAUUGUAGUAGAAUGAUGCUUGAAAUGUAAUGUUAUUCAUUCAUGCAUUCAAAAUAAUACGAAUUGCAAUUUUAAUGAAAAGUAAC